rnacentral:rRNA from 1 species
AUUGAACGCUGGCGGCAGGCCUAACACAUGCAAGUCGAACGGUAGCACAGAGAGCUUGCUCUCGGGUGACGAGUGGCGGACGGGUGAGUAAUGUCUGGGAAACUGCCCGAUGGAGGGGGAUAACUACUGGAAACGGUAGCUAAUACCGCAUAACGUCGCAAGACCAAAGUGGGGGACCUUCGGGCCUCACACCAUCGGAUGUGCCCAGAUGGGAUUAGCUAGUAGGUGGGGUAAUGGCUCACCUAGGCGACGAUCCCUAGCUGGUCUGAGAGGAGGACCAGCCACACUGGAACUGAGACACGGUCCAAACUCCUACGGUAGGCAGCAGUGGGGAAUAUUGCACAAUGGGCGCAAGCCUGAUGCAGCCAUGCCGCGUGUAUGAAGAAGGCCUUCGGGUUGUAAAGUACUUUCAGCGGGGAGGAAGGCGGUGAAGUUAAUAGCUUCACCGAUUGACGUUACCCGCAGAAGAAGCACCGGCUAACUCCGUGCCAGCCGCCGCCGUAA